UGGGACAUGCAUCAGUAUUGAGACGAGAGCUAGUGUAAAACAUGUCUGGGACAUGCAUCGGCCACGAGAUAUACAAGCUAGUGUAAGACUUGUCUGGACAUGACGUCAGCUUAUUGUGUGUUAGUGUAAAACCUAUCUGGGACAUGGCAUCGACACCGAUAGAUGAGAGCUAGUGAAAGACCUGUCUGGGACACAGCAUCGGCC
rnacentral:lncRNA from 1 species